GAUGAACGCUGGCGGCGUGCCUAAUACAUGCAAGUCGAGCGAACAGACGAGGAGCUUGCUCCUCUGACGUUAGCGGCUGACGGGUGAGUAACACGUGGAUAACCUACCUAUAAGACUGGGAUAACUUCGGGAAACCGGAGCUAAUACCGGAUAAUAUAUUGAACCGCAUGGUUCAAUAGUGAAAGACGGUUUUGCUGUCACUUAUAGAUGGAUCCGCGCCGCAUUAGCUAGUUGGUAAGGUAACGGCUUACCAAGGCAACGAUGCGUAGCCGACCUGAGAGGGUGAUCGGCCACACUGGAACUGAGACACGGUCCAGACGCCUACGGGAGGCAGCAGUAGGGAAUGUUCCGCAAUGGGCGAAAGCAUGACGGAGCAACGCCGCGUGAGUGAUGAAGGUCUUCGGAUCGUAAAACUCUGUUAUUAGGGAAGAACAAAUGUGUAAGUAACUAUGCACGUCUUGACGGUAACUAAUCAGAAAGCCACGGCUAACUACGUG
rnacentral:rRNA from 1 species